rnacentral:rRNA from 1 species
ACGAACGCUGGCGGCGUGCCUAAUACAUGCAAGUAGGACGCUGAAGGAGGAGCUUGCUUCUCUGGAUGAGUUGCGAACGGGUGAGUAACGCGUAGGUAACCUGCCUGGUAGCGGGGGAUAACUAUUGGAAACGAUAGCUAAUACCGCAUAAUAGCAGUUAUUGCAUGAUAACUGUUUGAAAGGUGCAAUUGCACCACUACCAGAUGGACCUGCGUUGUAUUAGCUAGUUGGUGGGGUAACGGCUCACCAAGGCGACGAUACAUAGCCGACCUGAGAGGGUGAUCGGCCACACUGGGACUGAGACACGGCCCAGACUCCUACGGGAGGCAGCAGUAGGGAAUCUUCGGCAAUGGACGGAAGUCUGACCGAGCAACGCCGCGUGAGUGAAGAAGGUUUUCGGAUCGUAAAGCUCUGUUGUAAGAGAAGAACGAGUGUGAGAGUGGAAAGUUCACACUGUGACGGUAUCUUACCAGAAAGGGACGGCUAACUACGUG